CUCUCUCUCUCUCUCUCUCUCUCUCUCUCUCUCUCUCUCUCUCUAUGACCACGCCUCUUCUCACGAAGAAGAAGAUCAAGAACAACCUACAAAACCCACAGCUUUGCCUUCAAAACCCAGUUCUUCCUGUUCCUCUCUGUUUUCUUCUCUACCCAAAUCCAAUUAAAAGGGUGACAUUUUGAGCUAUUUCCCUAUAAUGGAAUCGUGCAAGGCCCCCAAAUCCACCCCCUUUUGACUUAAAACAACAAAUCCACAAACCCUAACCAGUGAGAGAGGGAGCUAUUUCAAUGGCGAUACAGCCCUCGAGCUCGAGCAAAAGACAUGCUUUAGGUGAAACGACUCAAAGCACUUCUUUGGGCAUUUGGGGACCUGUAAAGACAUGUAUUCAGAGCCAAGCUUAUCUUUGUGCAAUUCAGGUUAUGUUCUAUCUGAAGGCUUGAAAGAUUGAAUAGAAUAUGGGAAGCAAAAUUACAUGCAAUCCAAAUUUCCAUAGUCGUGUUGUACAAGGAGAAGAAAAGCCGCACAACUCGUUUCCCUGUGAAGAACAAAUUUGAGGUUAACAGUUACACAAUGUGUUUUAGCUGGGUUUGAUGGGUUUGAUUUUGUUUGGUGGGUAAUGCUUGAUUUUUAUCAUUGUGAUAAUUGUGAUGAUGGGAUGGAUAUGGAGCUUAAUUUUGCUACUGGUUUGGCCAAUUUUGGAUUUUGGUUUUUCUUACUUUAAAACAAAAAUUGUUUCUUCACUAAGUGUAGUUCAAUCUGAUAAAACUGACAAUGCAAAAUGUUUCACAAAUGUUUAAUUUCAUAAUGGGUAAUUUCAAACUUUUGUGAAUGAGGUCUGCAUUGGAAUUGUAAUUAAUCAAGCCUUGUGUUUGAUAUACUCAUCACAGGUAGGAAGCUUUUUUUUUUAUUUUAAAUUUCGGGUAUCCAUCCCAUUUAUGAACUUCCGCCAUAAGUAAUUAGGUUAAUGAAUCUAAACUUCAUGCCUUUGAAUAUUCAUCCCGUAAAAUCUGUGUACUUUUGUUGCAGUGAGUUCUGUAGCAUGGUAAGGAAGAUUUUUAUCUAUACAAUAGAGGAAAUCAAGAGGUUGUCACCCAAGAUAAAACUUACACUCAAUGAAGAGGUCAAACCAGGAAAGCCAGAUUCUGAAGCAGCAAUCAACAUCGAAGACCAGUCAUCCAUUGUGGGACCUGCAUACUGAUCUGCCCCGUUGUCUCUAGCUAUAUAAUGAAAAAUUGGAAAAAAAAUUGGAAAAUGGAACUUGAUUGUCACAUGAGAUUCUGUCUGCUAGGAUGAUGCUAUCUAUGACAAAGUACACAUGCUGGAAGAAUUGGUUGAGUUUCCCUGCAUGCUGAGAUGGAGGGGGGCAGUGGCCUGUAAUGCACAUGCAAUCUGGAGAGUCACUACUCGUGACAGGGUUUGGGUGUUAUGGUUAUUGGUUGUCUAGUUUUGCCAAGAGGAUCUCAUAGUGCUUGCUUGUUUGGGCGAAUUGAGUCAGUGGUAGUCCUACUGGAGCAGCUCAAGUCCUCUGAUUAUAUUGAUCAACAAGAAUACGAUGCCUGCAAAAUGAAAUAAAGGAGCUUUUCUGGAAGGUGAUGCUGCUGUUGCCGUCGCUGAGGAGGUGAAGAAGAACAACCAUGUAGUAAGAAAGUUGGAGAGAAGAAGAACAACCAUGUAGUAAGAAAGUUGGAGAAGUGUCAACAGAUUUGCACCCUUGACCAACAUUUGGAAGAGCAAUUUGGUGGUGGUCGUCUAUUGGCUUGUAUCUCAUCACGACCUGGACAGUGGCUGUGCUGAUGGGAUGGGAAAACAUUGGACAAUGAGUUGGAGGUUGUUGAGGGAAUGAAGCUAGAUAGGGGCUACAUAUCCCCUUAUUUCAUCACCAACCAGAACAAUCAGAAAUGUGAAUUGGAAAAUCCUCUAAUCAUAAUCCAUGAGAAGAAAAUCUCAAGUAUUAAUGAUGUGGUUAAAGUAUUGGAGUUGGUUUUGCAGUUAUGAUUUCAGAUCUGUAGAUAACCUGUUGUUGCUGAUAUUGCUACACGAGAGGAGAAUAGAACAGCUUGGAAAAUGUGCAAGAAGGGAGAGCUAACUCAUACAACGAAGAACAAAUUGAUGAAGUUAAGAUCAAAAUUAGUAGAAUUUGUGAGCUCUCCAUUAUUUAUAAUUAUAGGUAGGAAGUAUGUAUGUAAUAGAGCAAAGAUUGGUUGACUAUGUAAUAACAAUUGAAUUGUCAAGUUUUAUGAAAGAAAUAAUUUUUGCUUCUU